CCGACUCCGGACAGCUAUGUCCUGGACUUUGUCAAGCCUUGACAAAGCUUCCUGACCUAACUGCAGGAGAUGUGACUAGAUAAGAACUUCCUGACCUAACUGCAGGAGAUGGCGAUUAGGUAAACUUUCUGGAGCCUGUCAACUGCAGGGGGCCCGGGAUCAAAGCGACCUCGCCCCUGACCCCUCCCUUAGGAAUUUUCUCUAUCCCUGCUUCCCCUGCUCCCCCUCCCUGCCUGAAGCCCUGCUUAUAAGCCUCAACACCCAGUCAAUAAACGAGACCUUGACGCGACUCAGACUGACUCUGUCUUCCCUUAUUGCGCCUGGUCUCCUUUCUCUCUCGCCCCCAUUGAUCUUUCAGGAGGUGCCUCCUCGGGUCUCCCCAAUAACCUGGCCCUCGGGACGGGUCAAGUGGCGCCCGAACGUGGGGCCCGAGGCACGGUGACCUGCCGGACGACGGACAACAGAAGGGGCCCCGGAGAGGAUCAGGGUAGAGACGCCCGGACUGCAUCACAAGUGCAACGUGGGAGAGUCUUGAGGUAAAUAUGUCGUCCCAUCGAUCAUGGGCAAAAAAUUUAUCUAAAGAGGCUGUUUUUCUAAAGGAGAUGAAAGGUAAUCUUAGGGAGAGAGGAAUAAGAGUUAAAAAAAAAAAAGGAUUUAAUAAAAUUCUUCCAAUAUAUGGAGGAGAAAUGUCCCUGGUUAGUGAUUAAUGGACCAGGAAUUCACCCUUUGACUUGGAACAAAGUUGGAAAAGAUAUUAACAAAUUAAUCAGAGAGGGGGAAAAUGUCCCCAUGCCUUUUUUAGUUUUUAUGGUGUGAUUAGAGAUGUUUUACCGGUAAGAGCGCUCUCUGUCUUGUUACUUUUGUUUUGUACUUUGCAGGCUUGAUUUGUACUUUGCAGGCUCUCACUGGGACAGACGUGUCCGGACAGUGAACCUGGCGGCCAAGGGAGACGUCCCAGAGCCCUAAGGCUACCUCAGAGGUGACCAUUUGGUUUAGGAGCAUCUUUGGGUAUCUUCCCCCACGGUGGGAGGAAGUGCCACUUUGUAUUUUGUCCCAGGAAAUUGUCAGAGCCAUUUUAUGGUUUUUUUUUUUUUUUUUUUUUUUUUUGUGUGUGUGUGUUUUGUUGUGAUCAUUGUUACUUUACUCUCUCCUUCUCUUCCAAGAAAAAAAAAAAAGGUGCAUGUCUGACUGACAGGGAUGUGGAAGCCCCUGAUGUCUGUUUGAUUAAGGAUAGAGAUCCUCCAGUCUGGAUUGUUUUUGGUGUGAUUGAGCCUGGAGGGUUGCCCUCCCCCCACCCAGAGCACAUCAGGCUGUCAUUGUUCUUGGAACUUUGUUGGUUGUUUUGUUGGGGCAAAGUUUUUUCAUGUGCCCUUGGUCUUGUGUGUAAUGUAUUAACUGUUCUCAUUGUUGACUUGACCAUGACGGACGCUAUGGGACAGUUCCCUUCUUCUCCACUAGACCUUUGCCUAGCCCACUGGAAGGAUAUGUGAGCCACAAUAGAGGGAACUGGGUCCCCCACCCCCACUCCCCGAUUGAACUGAGAUAAACAGGUAGCUCCUGCCAGGUGUGGCUUGCAUACUGUAAGAGGGACUUGCUGGCUGUGAAUGAGGCCGUCGUCUCAGUGCUGAUGCUCCGGUUCUUGGAUUGUCUCUGUAAAUGUUAUUUGUUUCUGUCUACUAACCUCCCUUAUUUUCCUAAAGGAAGAGGAGGAAAGAGAGGCAUAACAAAGGCCACCUCCGUCCCUCCUUAGCUCUCUUGCUAUCAGGACUGCAGCCAGCAGGCCGCUCUCACGAGGGUGGGGGUGCGCGCUCUUCUUACAGGCGGGCAAAGACAGGAGCUCUGGACAGUGCAAUGGGGACUGCCUGCAAUUGACAAAAACUGUGUGAACACUGAACAGAUAAUCUGACUUUAGUCAGAGGAGUUAACAAAAACUUUUUUUCAGGAACACUGGCAGCCAAGGAUACGCUCUAUGCCCACUGCUCCCCCUCCCUCCCUUUACUGUGAUAAUAACUUCAAGGUCUCUUCUGCCGGCCAGCAGCUUCUCUUGUUAACCCUUCUCUGUCCUGGUAUUGCUUAAAAAGAAAUGUUAAAAUUAUCAGUUCAAGAUACUGGGAAAAUUAUGCUUUUGUUUCCACAGGAAAAAUAAAAAUUUACAUGGUGUGAAACCUCAAUAACCCCCCUUCCUCUAUCCCCUACAGACAAAGAGGAGCCUAAACCAAGAUUCCUAUGUGUAGAUAAGAAGUUAGACCCCUUUUUUCCCAGGUGGCUUUAUCAGCUACAGAAACUUAAAAAAAAACACAGAGUCCGAAUAUAUGACCAUCUGACAGAGGCUAAGUGGUCAUAAAACAUCCCAAACUUCUCGAACCCUGGAGACAGCUCGUAAAACUCGUAGACACGGUUGUUUAACAAACAAGAAAUAAAGAUAACAUAACUGAUAUGAACUGAUAACAUACUGAUAUGAACCAGAAAGAAUGGAGGCAGGCUGUGAGAGAUGAAUUAUGUGGUCUGUGCCUUUAAGAACUAGCCUCACAAAGAAAGGGCGUGCUCCUUCCAAUCUCCCUGCUGUGCAUGAGAGAUUUGGAACGAGCCCCCUGCCGGGGCUUGUAAACUUUGACUUCAUUUGAAUGAACCUUGCUUUUUGCAUUCUGUACCUAAGUCUCUAGGUGGCUUCUUUGGGGCGAUCUGGGUAUAACAAUGGGUUUUGGUCAUUUGAGUUCAGUGGGUUACAAAUACUUGCCAUCAUUUAAGAGAAUUGGUUUCAAAUUAUUGUUGGUUAAGAUAAAAUAUAAUGCUUUUAUAAAAAUACGAAGGCUUGAGAUAUGAGGAUAAAAGUUUAAAUAAAUGAUUUUUUUUGGUUUGAAAAAGCAGUUUAAGAUAUAAAAAUUUAAAGGCUUAAGCGUGUCAUGAGGGUUUAAAUAUAUGAUAUUUUGGGUCUAAAUAAAUAGUUUGAGAUAUAAGAAUAUAGAACUUUAAAGUUUAACUUUAAAGUUUAAAUUAUAAGAUUUAAAUAAAAUUUAUAUAGGAUAUAAGAUAUAAAGGUUUUAGAUAUAAAAAUAAAGAAAUGUUUUAAAAAAUAUGUAACAUGCAAGUUAUUAGAAUACGUAAAAGCAAGGUAUAAAGGUCUGAGGAUGAAAAGGUUUAAAUAAUGAUUUAAAAAAAAUGACUUGAGAUAUAAAAAAAAAAAAAUGAAACAUGUUUCAGAUUUCUUUGUCUUGCUAUUCUGCUGUUACAUUGAGACUCCAAAGGGUCAUAGUUGUAAAAAUGUCUGUCUACUCUACAGGUAUGAAUGAAAAAUGUGGCCACAUGUAUGUUUGGUUUUGAAUGUCUGAGUUUGCAUGUCCUUUAUGUUAAGGAAUACAAGUUAAUACUAGUCAUCUGGCUAUUCAGAUACUAGUUUAAAGCAUAAACUGUUCUAUUUUAAUAAAAAAAAAACUGAGAGGUAUAUUUAACUAAUAUAUCUAUAGGUGAACAAAUUGACCUGGCUAUUGUUACCAAACUUAGAGAUAGUUUCAAGAUUGGGCCUAGAUUUGUUUGGCUCAGAUACAUUUAAUAGAUAAUGGUCCUCAAACUUGUCAAGAUUUGAUAAAUAUGGCAUUUACAUUAUUUGGAUAAAAAGCUUACUAUAGCAAACAGAGACUCCAAGCUCCCCAGCUCCUAGCAAUGACUCCCAAGGUCUCCAAAGAAGAUAUGGAGCAAUGACAAAAAGAUGCCACCUGAAUUGCAGACAACACCGACCACUGGGCAAGAUGCUCUGACUCAACACCUGCUGCCAGGGAUUUGGCCUAUGAGACACUGACAAGAUAAGAUGUCAGUUAUAUCAUUGAAGGAUCCACUCCACUAGUCAUAUCUGAAGAAACCCUAUUUUCAAGCAAGGUCGUAUAUUCUGAGGUCACGGCUUAGCGGUGUCUGAGUAAUGAAGAAACCCUGGCAGGGAAAGGGAUGUGCACUCCCAUCAUCUAACCAAAUACACUCAGCACCCAAUAGCUGUGCCGGUGACUGAUUUCAUCCUGCUCUGUUUUCUGAGGACCUUGAACCUACAAAAUACACUUGACUCAGAGCUUAACCUCAGAUUCUCUGGAGGUCCGAUUAUAACAGCAUAGACUCAUCCUCAUCUUUACUGAUUAACUUGGACAAUUAUUUAUGGAUCCCUGCUGGAUACCAGAAACUCGGAUGUCUAUGAGAACACAACAGGGAUGGGACAGCGUCCACCAUCAUUUGGCUCACAGCACAGUGACCACGGACAGCAGAGCAGUUGAGCAUAAGGAGAGCUGCAUCCGGUCCAGGGAACACAGACACACCUGGGCCACGGGGAUUUUAAUGUCAUUUGUUCUUAAGGAAUAAGAUCCAUCUUCUCUGACCUCGUGAAGUGUUCAUCCAGGGCUUCACAUGCCUCCUGGGGAAUGUUCCUUGAUGUUAUUGUCUUGGUUGUUGGGUUGGGGCAUGGACUUCUCCUCCUGUGACAUUUUCCUCCAGGUCAGUGUUGGUAGAAAGCAAAGCUAUUGAUUUAUUUUGAGCUGGACACCUUAUUAAACUUUUUUACUGUGCU